ensembl:lncRNA
GGAAUAUCAGCCCAAGCAAGGAUAUCAGCCGAAGAAACAAAAUGGCAAGCUUCAGAAUUUUGCUUCCUCUGCUCCUUCUGGGGCUGAUGGAGGUUAAAGCUACUGAAGUCCGAGGGCUUUCCUAUUACGAUGCCCUAACAAUUGCUAUGAGCCAUUUCAAUAGCAAAUGUGAUGAGAAAAAUGCCUACUGGAUAACUGCAACUAGACCCCAACUUAAGUGGGAUAGAAAAUCCAAAGAACCCCACCGUAUGGGUUUCGCUAUACAAGAAACUGAAUGCCUGAAAGGAGAAACCCGCACUCCUAGCAAAUGUGCCUUCAAAAAAGACGGGGUAAGAGCCACCUUUCUCCCCCAUGCUUCCAAACCCCCUGCCUCAUCUGCCCUCCUCCAAACUCACUUCUCUGUCUCUAU